rnacentral:lncRNA from 1 species
CCGGGAGAUUGGGCCGCCUAUCCCACUGCUGCCCACGCAGAGGCUGCAGGGAAAUACAAGUCUUUGGCCCGGGAGACUCGGCCGCCUUCCCCGCUGCUGCCCACGCAGAGGCUGCCGGGAAAUACCGUGGCCCAGGAGACUGGGCCGCCUAUUCCGAUGCUGCCCACGCAGAGGCUGCCGGGAAAUACAGGUCCGUGGCCCGGGAGACUCGGUCGCCUACCCCGCUGCUGCCCACGCAGAGGUUGCCGGGAAAUACAGGUCCCUGGCCCGGGAGACUCAGCCGCCUACCCCGCUGCUGCCCACGCAGAGGCUGCCGGGAAAUACAGGGAAGUUGGAGCCCCCUCUUCAUCAUGGAAUUUGGGGCAUCCCUGGUCUCCUGGUGGCUGUGGACUUGCAAAUACCCAGUUGUCCACAGACCUGUUGGCAAAUGGAUGUCCCGAGCGAGGGAGAUAUGCCUGGUGGGAAGGAGGAGUCCUGUGAAGAAUAGAGCCAGCUAAACACAGCAGAGAAGCAACAGAUGACAAAAAGCAACUGUCCAGAAGGCUGGCAGAACUGGGUUUGGGCCCAUGCUACGCAAUCCAGACAUGCCUGUAGCAUCCUUUGAAGGGACUCAAGUCUGUAGGCGAAAGUGUGAGUCUAGGAGCUGGUGAAUUUGCAUCCAGAGAGGGGGGGAUCUUGGGAAACAUGGAGAUACCCCCAUUUCUACACAUUUCAGUGUAGCUAAUUCAAGAUUGAAAAAGUAAGAAUGAAGUAUAUCUGAUUUUUCCAGUAAAAAAAAAAACCAUCAUAGCAUGUCAUCUGAAACUGCUGCUACUACAGAGAGAUUAGCAGGAUCUCAAAGUUAGUUAAGAUUGGUGGAGGGUCUCUUUACUGACGACCACAAAGCUAUUUAAAUGCAUAUGUUCAUGACAUACAGAAAGGUUAUUUGGAACUGGUUUCAGUUGAAGGACGGCCUUUUAGCUAACAGUUUACACUCAAUAUUGUCACCUCACUCCCUUUUCUCUCUCUUCCUCAGUCUUCCUCCAUCUCUUUUCCCAUUUUCUCUGUAUUUUUCUUUCUUUCUCAGUACUCUGUCUCAUAAAAUUGUUCAAUACUUUUCCUGGAUUAUUUAAGAAGUUAAUAAAAACUCUCUGUCUUCCCUUUAGUUAUUCAAAGGCUUUUAUUAAAUCGUUGAAGGAAAUAAAA